rnacentral:rRNA from 1 species
GCCAUUCUGUCAUCCAGUAUAUAUAGCAAGUCGAGCCAGUAGUAGAGAAGCUUGCUUCUCUUGAGAGCGGCGGACGGGUGAGUAAUGCCUAGGAAUCUGCCUGGUAGUGGGGGAUAACGCUCGGAAACGGACGCUAAUACCGCAUACGUCCUACGGGAGAAAGCAGGGGACCUUCGGGCCUUGCGCUAUCAGAUGAGCCUAGGUCGGAUUAGCUAGUUGGUGAGGUAAUGGCUCACCAAGGCGACGAUCCGUAACUGGUCUGAGAGGAUGAUCAGUCACACUGGAACUGAGACACGGUCCAGACUCCUACGGGAGGCAGCAGUGGGGAAUAUUGGACAAUGGGCGAAAGCCUGAUCCAGCCAUGCCGCGUGUGUGAAGAAGGUCUUCGGAUUGUAAAGCACUUUAAGUUGGGAGGAAGGGCAUUAACCUAAUACGUUGGUGUCUUGACGUUACCGACAGAAUAAGCACCGGCUAACUCUGUGCCAGCAGCCGCGGUAAUACAGAGGGUGCAAGCGUUAAUCGGAAUUACUGGGCGUAAAGCGCGCGUAGGUGGUUUGUUAAGUUGGAUGUGAAAUCCCCGGGCUCAACCUGGGAACUGCAUUCAAAACUGACAAGCUAGAGUAUGGUAGAGGGUGGUGGAAUUUCCUGUGUAGCGGUGAAAUGCGUAGAUAUAGGAAGGAACACCAGUGGCGAAGGCGACCACCUGGACUGAUACUGACACUGAGGUGCGAAAGCGUGGGGAGCAAACAGGAUUAGAUACCCUGGUAGUCCACGCCGUAAACGAUGUCAACUAGCCGUUGGGAGCCUUGAGCUCUUAGUGGCGCAGCUAACGCAUUAAGUUGACCGCCUGGGGAGUACGGCCGCAGGUUAAAACUCAAUGAAUUGACGGGGGCCCGCACAAGCGUGGAGCAUGUGGUUUAAUUCGAAGCAACGCGAGAACCUUACCAGGCCUGACAUCCAAUGAACU